GAUGCGACAGGUGACGUCUUGGUACUCUGUGGACCUUUAGUGAGGUGUGUGAGGACUUCCUGUUGUUUUAACUACAAAGUUUCAUCUAGCUCGACAUGUUAAAGACUGUGAGGAGCUCCGAGGGAAAAGUUUAGUGGACUGGUCAAACAGGGACAGAGAGGCCCAGUGGACUGGUUUUACUGGGACACAGAGUGGACUGGGCAGUGAGGCUGAACCUGGAGCAGACUGUGGAAAACUAGACUCAGAAUAUCUUCACACAGGUGGGAGGUCUAUCGUUCUAAACGCACACUUAAGCACCCGCCACUAGGAGACGACCGCUGCAGCAGUGCAAGCUCCGCGUCAGGGACAGUUGCUGUAAGGAAUAAACAGAGAUCAUCUCCAAAGAUAUCCACGGUCUGGACCUCUUCAUAUCAAGUCAACCCAGACAACACGCGAGGGACCCUGAUUACAUUCAGCCCAGAGAUUUUCCCUAAAAUGCUUUUGCUUCAUGAUUUUGUUGUGGACUUGCGGCUGGACCCACCAGCCAGUUGAGUGGAGAGAGA